UACGUAGGGGGCUAGCGUUGUCCGGAAUCAUUGGGCGUAAAGAGCGUGUAGGCGGUCCGGUAAGUCCGCUGUGAAAGUCACAGGCUCAACCUGUGAAUGCCGCUGGAAACUGUCUGGCUAGAGUCCGGGAGGGGCGAGUGGAAUUCCUGGUGUAGCGGUGAAAUGCGCAGAUAUCAGGAGGAACACCAAUGGCGAAGGCAGCUCGCUGGAACGGUACUGACGCUGAGGCGACGAAAGCGUGGGGAGCAAACAGG
rnacentral:rRNA from 1 species